UAUGGUAAGUAAUGACAGCUUUUACAUGAUUUUUACUCUGUCCACAUCAACACUUUUUUAAAAAAAUUUACCCAUUAUAAAAUAUUUUCUUUCCGUAGCCAUUGAAGUCUAACAGACCAGAAGGAAUAUAGCCACUUUCUAUAUGUCUACAUUGAUAAAGAGAAGACUUUUUUAGAAAACCGCAUCUUCAAGAAUUUCAGACUAGCUGCCAAUGUCUGGAUCCGUCAAGAGGACCAUCCUUGGACCUGAUCUUGCAGCUGCUGUUGAUAUCCAUAGGGGCAGAGAGAGCUCUACUUUGCACCACAGACCUGCAGUUUUACCUACCACAGCUCCGUAGUAGGCGGAUGUCAUUUUCCAGUACAUCAGGAGUUUCGUAGAAACUAUCCAGUCCUGCAGCCAUCACAGGUUGGUGUUAUGAAGUCCCCAUUGGUGUUAUUCUUGGAAACAGGACCAUGGUAUCAAAUAGGGCUUUUGAAAAGCACAUUCCUUUUAGCCUCAUGACUGGCAGCUGAUGAAAAUGGAGAAAAAAGGUUUCAAAAUAACAAACAAUAUGAUAUGUUGGAUUAAAAAGAAAUUGGAGAGAUGAAAUAUCCUAAGGCAGAUGUUCAUAUUACAUUAUAUUCAAGGAUUUCUAAAAAACUGCCUCCUCCUUUUCAAAUUCUUGAUUAUACGCUUUAUAUUUACUUAACUACCUUUCCUGAAACUGAUAGUCUAUUUGGUGAUGUGUGGACUCUCUAAACCACUUUUAAAAUGUCAGUACACCAUUAGUCAGAAUAAGGUGACCUUUCCCAGAACAAAUAUUUCUGUGUACAUCUCAGCUAAUGUUGGCUAAAGUACAUGAGAACAAGAGUGGUAAUAAGAUUUAUCAUACUGAGACACUGAGUAAUAGAAGUUCUUCUGUAAAUUAACAACCAUGGUUGAUAUUAUUUGUGCAUUUGUGUGCACGUCAGAAAAAAGACAACUCAUCUACUAUAGCACAUUUUUUGGACUCUAAGACAUACCCCCCCAAGUUUGGGAGGAAUAAUAGUUGUUAAUGCUGCUGUUGAGUUCUGUUUACAUUUACAUUGGUGAAAUAUUAUGUUAUUUAUCUUAUUAAAUAUGUAACCACACUUUUUGCUUCAAAAUAUUUUUCUAUUUUCCUCCUCUAAAACCUGGCUGUGUCUUACAGUCUGAAAAAUAUGGUAGUUAGUGCUCCCUCAUUCCCGAUAAGGCCACUUGCUCUUUAGCCUGCUAUACAUCAUUAAACUAGCUUCUGGCAGAUAAUAGUAGAAGCUAAGGACUUCUGUCCUCAUGGUAAUGACAGUGAAGGUCCCAUAUGUCUCAUCUUCUGAAUAAAUUAAUUCAGAGCUUGAAAGGCCCGAAUGUUUACCAUUACCAUGUAGCUACUAAUAUCAUUAGUCUUUCAUACAUACAUACCUGAAUCAUUAACUUAUACAUAUCUAACAUUUUUAUACUAGUUUUAUCUAUUUUUAGAAUGGGUUCACAUGCACAUAUUUUAUAUUUAAAUAAUCCCAAUUAAUUUCUAUUUUAAUAGUUCAUUUAUAUUGCAUUUUCCCAUUACCGUUUACUCCUCUUUUAACCUCAUCCAACUCGACCUGCCCCCCUUCACUCCCCACAAUCACCAACUGUUGUCCAAGUCUGUGAGUUCUUUUCCUUGUUUUCUUUUUCCCUCCAGCCCCACACCCUCUCAGGGCUGUCAGCCUGCUUGCUAUCUAUAUGUCUGUCUUCAUUUUGUUCAAUUUGUUCAUUAGAUGCCACAUAUGAGUGAAAUCAGAAUUUUUUUCUAGUAAGCCCUGUUUUAUUCCUUUCAACAGAAAAAUUGGUAUGUAAAUAUGGAGGCUUUAAGUCAGUUUAUCUUUAUUGUAUGUAAAUAUGUACAUAUGAAUAAGAUGAAAGAACAUGAUAAUCUUUUUAUUCAAUCUGACAACUUCAGUUUAUCUUUCAGUAAACAAAACUAUGAUGAUAGUUACACAGACAAGAAUGUGCUUGGAAACACAUGUUCAGCAUAUCUUGGUUAUCUUCUCUGUGCAAACCUUUGACUUAAUUGAUCUUGAAGAUGCAAAGAUGUUUCAGACCCAGAGCUUUCCCUUAGCUCAAAAUUAGUAGAAGAGCCAAGAAAAUGAAAAAAUGUAUCACCCAGAGCUUUUUCUUAGUUCAUAAUUUAAUAAAAGAACAAAGGUAUCUUAAACUAACUCAGAUGCUAGGUAGAAAGUGAAUCAACCAACAAAUGCUUCAAAAGGUGUAUGAUCAGAAACAAAGGUCUGAUCUCUCUCUCUCUUUCUCUGCCUUCCUCUCUCUAUAAAAAUCAAUAAAUUAAAAAAUUAAUUUAAAAAGAAUGACCUGCUUUAAAAACACUAAUAACUAUUUAUAGUGUCAGAUGAGUACUAGACUUACUGAGGUAAACACUUCAUAGAUUAUAUAAAUGUCUAAUUACUAUGUUGUAAACCUGAAACUAAUAUAAUAUUGAGUGUCAACUGUAACUGAAUUUUUUUUUAUAAAAAGGAGGGGAAUUCUGACCCAUGCAUGGAUGAAGCUCCAGGACAUUGUGUUCAGGGGAAUAAGCCAUAAAGCAUACAACUCCACUUAGAUGAGGUACCUAGAGUGAUCACACUGGUAGAGACAGGAAGUAGAAUGGUGGUCCCCAGGAGCUGGAGGGGAGCGGUGGGAAAUGGGGUGUUGUUUAAUGGAUAUGGAGUUUCUUUUUUCCAGGAUGAACAGAGUCCUAGAGAUGGAUGAUGGUAAUGAUUGCACAAUGUGAACGUACUCAAUACCACUAAACUGUGUGAUUUUUAAAUAAUGGAUAAGAUUUUAAGAAAAAGGAAAAAAACAAAGUGGUGUAAGUUCAGAGGAAGGAGGAAAUCUCAGCUGAUCAAAAAAUAUGCUUAUCUCAUUAGGCAAUGAAAGUAAUGGAAACUCCCUGUGCGAUAAAGCUGAAGACUGUAUGCCAGGAUCAGAGUGAAGGAGGGUAACAAGGAACUGAAAAGGGAUACCGGCUGGGACAGGACUGCAGGAAGCUUUGCGUGGCAUGCCAAAGAAUUUAGCCUGCCGGCGAUCAUGGUAAACAUUGGAGAAGUUGAGGGUAAAGAUGACGUGCAUCUGUACUCAAGGAGAAGGAAUAAUUUAAGGCUUUUCAAAAACUCUUGUGUAUCACAGAUGCUAGUUUUGCUUUACUAAAUAGGAGCGAUGGCCUAUAUAUUUGCAUUUUUAAGAGAACCUUCAACCCCAUUACCAGGUAACUCUGGUGCAGUUUAUUUAUUAAACUUUGAAGAAAAUUAUUGUGAUAUUCUGUCAGCCAGUCAAGUGAUUUCAUCUAUUGUUUGACUAAAAGUUUUAAUAUUUUCUCUCUACCCUACAUGCCCAUGCAGGUUAGAGGUUCAGCACGCCAUCUUUAGCUUCAUCUUUCAAAUGCUACCAGCCCCAUAAGGAGAUGGCACCACUGAGCAUAUGCACUCUGUGGUUGGCAACUCCAACAGACAUAUACGCAACUCACAUCUAUUUCUGGAGUUGUUGGAUGUGGUAGAAAGGCUGGUGAAACAACAGGAGUCCCUAGACCUCAGUGGAUAUCUUGCUAUUUACUCUGUGACGCCAAGGCUGAGCUUGAAGUUAUUGGCAGUGUGCAUGUAAAUGAGAAAUGUCUACCCUCUCUGCCUCAGGGUGACUUAGAAAUUCAUAAGAAAUCUUGUUUGUCUAAAGCUCUUUGAAAUAAUCUACCAAGUGCUGUACAAAUGUGAGACAUGCUAAUCCCUUUGGGUUAAACCAUUAAAUCUCCAGACAACUCUAUUUAAAUGCAAAUAUGUUGUAUAAGAAGGCAUAACAUUAGCACAUAUAUUAGAAUUUUAGCUGUGCAUUAGGGUACAUGAUUUUUUCACAAAAAUCUGACACUGAAGAAAUGGGGGAUGUGGUCAUUACAUUUUAAUGGCACUGGGGAGGAAGCUGGGGAAGAAGCAGAACUUCUACCUUCUUUGGGUCUCCUGGGCUUGAGAAUUAAACUGAUAGAAACAAACUCAUAGAUACAGAGAACAAACUGAUGGUUGCCAGUUGUAAAGGAGGCUGGGUGCCAGGUGAAAAAGGUGAAAGGGAUUAAGAAAUACAAAUGGCCAGUUAUUAAAAUAUUAUGGGAAUAUAAAGUACAGUGUAGGGAAUAUCAUUAAUAACAUUGUAAUAACUAUACAUGGUGUUAGGUAUUAGGCUGAUAGGAGUGAUCAAUUCAUAAGAUGUAUAAAUAGCUAAUGACUAUGGUGAAUACCUGAAACUAAUAUAGCAUUCUAUGUCAACUGUAAUUAAAAAAUAAAAAAAAGAUUGAUAGGAGAAAAACACAGAUUGUAUUUAAUAUAAGUUUUAUGUGCUAUUGGAACCCUUAUAAGGACAUGAAGACCCACAAAAGUGGCAAGACCUAAAUGCUUUUAUACUAUGUUGAACAUAGAGACAAAGAGGUAGUAAAAAAGUAAUUAAAAUAUAAGGGGAGACUGAAAACAGAUGAGAGCAUUUUAACAUACUCUGUACAGCAUUCUCAGCCUCAGGUCCUCACCUCUGGUGACAAGAAUGUUUUCUUCUUCCUGGUGUAGGGAGGCCAUUUUUCACAUGGAAGACUUCUCUCCUGCUUCUAGGACAAAAAGGGAGAGGCAGAGCAUUCUUCUUAUACCUGCUUUUUUUUAAGUGCUCAAAAUAAUUUUUAUGCCAAUUGACACAUUUUGAGUUGGCAGCCACUGCCACUGCUGAGAGCCAUGAAAAAAGGAGGAAAAAGAGACUUGGAAAAAAAUUCAGUGCAUAGGUCUGAAAGUCAGACGUAGGAAACGUACUUAACAUAAGGUCCAAAAAUAGACCUGAAAGGUUCUGAAAGCCAUAUGCUUACUUUAGGCUAUUGUCUAUGCCUGGUCCUGAUUCCUCCUCAGGGGAGAAAAGUACAAGACAUGUAUUUUUUUUCUUUUCCUAGAGGCAAAGAAUGAAGGGAAUAGUGUAGUAGUAGACAUAGCUGAACAACCUAUUGAAACUUCUUAGUGUAUGUGUGUGUGUAUAUAUAUAUAUAUAUAUAUAUAUAUAUAUAUAUAUAUAUACCUCCAAAAGGACACCAUGUGGAUAUACCAAACUAUGUGGAACAGAAAACAGUAUCCCUAUUAGGUAGACGACACCAUGGUAUAUAUGAAUGCUCUACUACCCUACAUCCUCCUAGGGUCUUAAUUAAGUUUAAACAUCACCAGUAGGCAGAGGGAAGAAUUGGAAUCUGCUGUAAUUCAGUUUCCACUUUCAACCUGUGCAAUGUUACAGCCUCCCAAUAAAGUGCUAUGGGUUAUGGCAUUGUCAGAAAGAACCUGUGGCCGCCAGCUCACAGAUGCUCAAAGGCAUUAAGUCUCCAGAAAAUGGAGAAAAGACAGAAGUCAAAUCUGGCCCUGCAGUUUAUUUGUACAUGCUCAAUUUCAUCUUCUCCUCUAGUGAAAAUGAAGUUGAAGAAAGACUCUUAUGUGACUCUAGAAAAUCAGAGCCUUGGACACUCCCAAGUGAAUAGGGAAGGCAAUGCCACAGUCUAAGGGAGGAGGCUACUCUGGUAAAGAUGCAUUUUUAAUCCCUUAGCUAGCUGGGUACUUUAGACAGUCAACUGUGUUGACCCUUGGGGUUUGCAUGUGCUUUUCAAUUACAAAGAGACACUUUCAUGUUCGGAAUUCCCUGCCUUAAAAAUUGCUACAGGCUCUCAAAUCUCCUGUGCAGGUUAAGUUAUCCAAAUAAAGCCAGCUUCAGCCGAGAGGCAUUAGAACUUCCACUUGCCAUCUAUAAAGACUGCUAAAGAGAACACGAGCUGUGAGAGGAGUACAAGAAAAUCACAGGAAAAAUAUCUUGUUUCAAUAACAAGUACCUACCUGAACUCUUACCCGAUCACUGUUUCUCAAGGAAGAAGUGAGUUCCAAAUAUGGGUUUAAUUUUGCACAAAGUCUAUGCACUUGACUCCAUAUUCCUACCUGGCAUUUGGCAGCAAGACACAAACCCAUCUCCUUGGAAUUUAUUUUCUUUCUUUUAAACAUUAAUUAAUUAAUUAAAAUUUUCUGAAAAGUAGAACAUUCCUGUAACAGCAAAUGCAAAGUGCCCAAAAGGGUGUAGAGAGGAAAAACAGGCUUCUGUCUCAUUGUAACCUCCAGCCACUUGUUCAGUUUCUAAAAGUUAUCAUUGUUGGCAGUUUCAGAGGUAAUCUCUAUAUACAAAUAUUUGUGGAUUUUCUCUCAUCUUUUCUCUUUACCCAAAUAAUUGUAUAUUAUAGCAAGAAAGCAAAGGGCAAGAGUAUCUAUAUCUAUCUAUCCCCUGUCUCUAUAUGGUAACCAUGUUUGUCUUUUAUGUCAGUUAGUUAUACAUUUCCCUGUUAUUUUAAAUAGCUGCAUAGUGUUUGUUUCUGUGGAUAUAACAUAAUUUAUUUAGCUGAUCCCCUACUCAUAGCCAGUUAUGUUGUUAUGAAUCUCAUGUUAAAACCAUGAGUGUCUUUGUGACAGUAUCAUGUCACUCGUGUAAAAGGAUACACCAGAUAAAUUCCUAGAAGUGGAAUUUCUAAGAAAAAAACAUGCACCUUCAAUUUUUAUAUAUAUUACUGAGUUUUAAUAGCCUCUAAGAUUUCCUGUUUCCUGGUGUUAUUGAAAUUUUUGAUAUUGACAAUGAGAUACAUGCAUAUUAGAAUUUUAAAGUAGCUUUAA